UGGGGGAUAUUGCACAAUGGGCGAAAGCCUGAUGCAGCGACGCCGCGUGGGGGAUGAAGGCUUUCGGGUUGUAAACCUCUUUCGCUAUCGAACAAGGCCCGCUUAGGGUGGGUUGAGGGUAGGUGGAGAAGAAGCGCCGGCUAACUACGUGCCAGCAGCCGCGGUAAUACGUAGGGCGCGAGCGUUGUCCGGAAUUAUUGGGCGUAAAGGGCUUGUAGGCGGCUUGUUUGGCCUGCUGUGAAAACGCGGGGCUUAACUUCGCGCGUGCAGUGGGUACGGGCAGGCUUGAGUGUGGUAGGGGUGACUGGAAUUCCAGGUGUAGCGGUGGAAUGCGCAGAUAUCUGGAGGAACACCGAUGGCGAAGGCAGGUCACUGGGCCAUUACUGACGCUGAGGAGCGAAAGCAUGGGUAGCGAACAGG
rnacentral:rRNA from 1 species